UACGGAGGGUGCAAGCGUUUAUCCGGAUUUAUUGGGUUUAAAGGGUACGUAGGCGGUGGAGUAAGUCAGUGGUGAAAGCCAACAGCUCAACUGUUGAACUGCCAUUGAUACUGCUUCACUUGAGUGCAGUUGAGGUGGGUGGAAUUCCAUGUGUAACGGUGAAAUGCUUAGAUAUAUGGAGGAACACCGAUAACGAAGGUAACUCACUAAACUGUAACUGACGCUGAGGUACGAAAGCGUGGGGAGCAAACGGG
rnacentral:rRNA from 1 species